rnacentral:rRNA from 1 species
AGGCCUUCGGGCGCUGACGAGUGGCGGACGGGUGAGUAACGCGUAGGAAUCUGCCUGUUAGUGGGGGACAACGUGGGGAAACUCACGCUAAUACCGCAUACGCCCUACGGGGGAAAGGAGGGGAUCUUCGGACCUUUCGCUAACAGAUGAGCCUGCGUUAGAUUAGCUAGUUGGUAGGGUAAAGGCCUACCAAGGCGACGAUCUAUAGCUGGUCUGAGAGGACGAUCAGCCACACUGGGACUGAAACACGGCCCAGACUCCUACGGGAGGCAGCAGUGGGGAAUAUUGGACAAUGGGCGCAAGCCUGAUCCAGCAAUACCGCGUGUGUGAAGAAGGCCUUAGGGUUGUAAAGCACUUUCAAUUGGGAGGAAAACCUGCCGGUCAAUACCCGGUAGCUUGACAUUACCUUUAGAAGAAGCACCGGCUAACUCCGUGCCAGCAGCCGCGGUAAUACGGAGGGUGCAAGCGUUAAUCGGAAUUACUGGGCGUAAAGCGUGCGUAGGCGGUUCGUUAAGUCAGAUGUGAAAGCCCUGGGCUCAACCUGGGAACUGCAUUUGAAACUGGCGAACUAGAGUUGAGUAGAGGGGAGUGGAAUUUCAGGUGUAGCGGUGAAAUGCGUAGAUAUCUGAAGGAACACCAGUGGCGAAGGCGACUCCCUGGACUCAAACUGACGCUGAGGUACGAAAGCGUGGGUAGCAAACAGGAUUAGAUACCCUGGUAGUCCACGCCGUAAACGAUGUCGACUAGCCGUUGGUCCUAUUUACAGGAUUAGUGGCGCAGCUAACGCAUUAAGUCGACCGCCUGGGGAGUACGGCCGCAAGGUUAAAACUCAAAUGAAUCGACGGGGGCCCGCACAAGCGGUGGAGCAUGUGGUUUAAUUCGAUGCAACGCGAAGAACCUUACCCAGGUUGGACAUGCACGUAGUAGAAAGGUGAAAGCCUGACGAGGUAGCAAUACCAGCGUGCUCAGGUGCUGCUUGGCUGUCGUCAGCUCGUGCCGUGAGGUGUUGGGUUAAGUCCCGCAACGAGCGCAACCCCUGCUUUCAGUUGCUACCGGGUCAUGCCGAGCACUCUGAAAGGACUGCCCAGGAUAACGGGGAGGAAGGUGGGGAUGACGUCAAGUCAGCAUGGCCUUUAUGCCUGGGGCCACACACGUGCUACAAUGGCCGGUACAAAGCGCUGCAAACCUGCGAGGGGGAGCCAAUCGCAAAAAACCGGCCUCAGUUCAGAUUGAGGUCUGCAACUCGACCUCAUGAAGGCGGAAUCGCUAGUAAUCGCGGAUCAGCACGCCGCGGUGAAUACGUUCCCGGGCCUUGUACACACCGCCCGUCACACCACGAAAGCCUGUUGUACCUGAAGUCGCCCAAGCCAACCGCAAGGAGGCAGGCGCCCACGGUAUGGCCGGUGAUUGGGGUGAAGUCGUAACAAGGUA